UAUGUACAUAUUGUAUCUGUGAUUGAUCAAAAUGGAGACUUCAAUACAAGUAGUGAAGUGACUUGGUAUCGCAGCUUCAAUAAACAGCAGUUGAAACCAGAGGAGCACUGUCUCCUAGUCUGCUGUGUUCUGUUGCUGCUGGUCUGCCCGUCACCAGAGGUGUUAGACUAGGUACACUGCCACUGUCUCCUAGUCUGCUGUGUUCUGUUGCUGCUGGUCUGCCCGUCACCAGAGGUGUUAGACUAGGUACACUGCCACUGUCUCCUAGUCUGCUGUGUUCUGUUGCUGCUGGUCUGCCCGUCACCAGAGGUGUUAGACUAGGUACACUGCCACUGUCUCCUAGUCUGCUGUGUCCUGUUGCUGCUGGUCUGCCCGUCACCAGAGGUGUUAGACUAGGUACACUGCCACUGUCUCCUAGUCUGCUGUGUUCUGUUGCUGCUGGUCUGCCCGUCACCAGAGGUGUUAGACUAGGUACACUGCCACUGUCUCCUAGUCUGCUGUGUUCUGUUGCUGCUGGUCUGCCCGUCACCAGAGGUGUUAGACUAGGUACACUGCCACUGUCUCCUAGUCUGCUGUGUCCUGUUGCUGCUGGUCUGCCCGUCACCAGAGGUGUUAGACUAGGUACACUGCCACUGUCUCCACAUGACGUUGACAAUGGAUUUUCUCUUACGUUUACAAGCUGAAUUGCAAUAAACAUGAUGCACACAUAGUAUUACAUAGAAUGCUGUUUUAUUUGAUGGUUACCAGGUUGACCUCGUGUAAAGGGUCAGGCUGGGGUUGGAGGCCAGGGGUCAAGGUUGACCGUAAUAAAUAAAAUGGGUUGGUAUCUCUCUACCCAGGGCCAUCUGGCAGCGCUGCUGGGGUUGGAGCACCUGGAGUCAGGUGCUGAACCCAAACAAACCACUCAUCCUAAUCCCCCUAACCCUAUCUAAAGUACACACAUGAUUUCUCCUGCUUCUGCUCUCUCUUUCUGUCCCUCUAUCUCUGCUCCUCUCUAUCUCUUUUUUCUCUUCCUCUAUCUCUCUAUUGCUCUCCUGAUUUUUAGGUAUUUUUCUCCUGGGUUAUUCUCUCUCUGCUCAGAUGGUAUCUCUCGAUCUUAGGUUAUUCUCUCUCUGCUCAGAUGGUAUCUCUCUAUCCUAGGUUAUUCUCUCUCUGCUCAGAUGGUUUCUCUCUAUCCUAGGUUAUUCUCUCUCUGCUCAGAUGGUAUCUCUCUAUCCUAGGUUAUUCUCUCUCUGCUCAGCUGGUAUUUCUCUCCUAGGUUAUUCUCUCUCUGCUCAGCUGGUAUUUCUCUCCUAGGUUAUUCUCUCUCUGCUCAGCUGGUAUUUCUCUCCUAGGUUAUUCUCUCUCUGCUCAGCUUGUAUUUCUCUCCUAGGUUAUUCUCUCUGCUCAGAUGGUAUCUCUCUAUCCUAGGUUAUUCUCUCUCUGCUCAGCUGGUAUCUCUCUAUCCUAGGUUAUUCUCUCUCUGCUCAGCUGGUAAUUUCUCUCCUAGGUUAUACAUUUACAUUUACAUUUAAGUCAUUUAGCAGACGCUCUUAUCCAGAGCGACUUACAAAUUGGUGCAUUCACCUUAUGACAUCCAGUGGAACAGCCACUUUACUCUCUCUGCUCAGCUGGUAUUUCUCUCCUAGGUUAUUCUCUCUCUGCUCAGCUGGUAUUUCUCUCCUAGGUUAUUCUCUCUCUGCUCAGCUGGUAUUUCUCUCCUAGGUUAUUCUCUCUCUGCUCAGAUGGUAUCUCUCUAUCCUAGGUUAUUCUCUCUCUGCUCAGCUGGUAUUUCUCUCCUAGGUUAUUCUCUCUCUGCUCAGCUGGUAUUUCUCUCCUAGGUUCUACUCUCUCUGCUCAGCUGGUAUUUCUCUCCUAGGUUCUACUCUCUGCUCAGCUGGUAUUUCUCUCGUAGGUUAUACUCUCUGCUCAGCUGGUAUUUCUCUCCUAGGUUAUACUCUCUCUGCUCAGCUGGUAUUUCUCUCCUAGGUUAUACUCUCUCUGCUCAGCUGGUAUUUCUCUCCUAGGUUAUACUCUCUCUGCUCAGAUGGUAUUUCUCUCCUAGGUUAUACUCUCUCUGCUCAGCUGGUAUUUCUCUCCUAGGUUAUACUCUUUCUGCUCAGAUGGUAUUUCUCUCCUAGGUUAUUCUCUCUCUGCUCAGCUGAUUCCCCUCUUUUUUGCCAUCUAACAUCUCUUUCUCUCUUUCUCCUUGUUAUCCCCUCAUUCCCCUCCCUGUCCUCCGUUGUCUCUUC